AAAGAAGGUGUAGCGGUGUUUCACUACCUGGACGACAUCCUGGUAGUGGCUCCGGACCUAGCAUCAAUAUUCCAACACAGGCAAUUAGUCCUCAACACUCUAUCUCAUUUCGGUUGGCUCAUCAAUUACGAGAAGAGUCACUUGCAUCCUUCAAGAGAACUGAUAUUCCUGGGAGCAAAUUUCAAUACAGACACAGCGAUUGUAUCCCUCUCACACAACAGAAAGAUCAGACUUCGAGAUCGGAUAAGGGACUUCAGACUAAAGACUUCAGCCUCGGCAAGAGAGUUUAUGAGACUUCUGGGGACUCUUUCCUCUACGAUAGAACUUGUCAGAUGGGCUCAGUGGAACCUUCGCCCUCUUCAACAAUUUUUCCUAAAAAAUUUCAGGACCGAC